AUCAUAUAUAAUUCAACAAAAUCUGGAUGAAAAUAUAAAAAAUGAUAGAUCACCAAAAGUAAACCUGCAAAUUACAUAGUUAGACUAAAUAAAAUUAUUGAUGAAUUUUGAAAUUUUGGGGUGGAACGCAUUGACAAUUCACAAAUCACAUCAUCAAUUACAUUUAAAAAAUAAUCACCAAAAAAAAAUUCAGACCAAGCAAUUAACAAUCUUACAAUUUGAAUCUCGUGAUUGAAAAAACAUCCAUGCAUAUAACGAGAUAAAAAUCACACUUCGGAGAGAAAGGAAAAAAAAAGGCAAUCAUCAUUACCUACAUUGAGAAUUUGAGAUUGCACGACGCCGUGGACAGACAACAUAUUGGUUCGUUUGCAAAAACACUUGUGCAUGCGUGUUGCAGACAGAGAAAUGAAUGAAUGAAUGAGAAGUUGAUGGAUGAAUCGGCAAUCGGCAUUAGGGAUUUCGGCCAUUUGGGUAAUUGAGGGGGAAGGGGAGUGGACGACUAGAGGAGGACGGAUGGUAUUUUGAUCACCUUGGUAUGAACGUAUGGUAUAUUUGCAAUAAGAUUUCUUAUUUUACGUUCUCAUUUUUAUCAAGCCAUUAAGGUGGGUACAUUUGUAUUAAUCACCUUACUCUAUUUUCCAUAGUAAUUUAUAGACGGUUAAUAUUGGGCGAAACCAAAUUUGGAAAAAGCCGAAUCAAUAUCCAGGUUUUUAUGGCAACCUCAAUCUUCACCAUUCUUUCGGAUCUAAUCGGAAAGGGGCGACCCGCCUGAAAAUAUAAAAAUAAUAAAUAAAUAAACCUAAAAUUUAAAAUAGAUAUUCUUUUUACCUUAAAUUUUAAAAGUAAAUAUAAAAUGGACAUAAUCUUUAAGAAAUAAGAUUUAAGCUUUAAAAUAUAAUAAAUUUUUAAUUUUAAUAAUCCUAUAUCUAAUUUAAUUUAUUCAAAAAAUAAAAAAUAUAUUUAUUUUAAAAAAACCAGGGCCACCCGCCCGGGUUUCGCCCUGCCCCGAGACCCGGCAGGAAUAUGACCGGGGCAACUAUGCAAAAUAUCUGCCCGUCCCCGGUUACCACCGGGGCACGGAAGGGGAGGGACUGGGGCGACCCGCCCCAUUCUCACCCUUAUUUAGCAUGUACUCACUCAUUGGAAAAUCCGGACUGGUCUAGGCCCCCUCAAGCGAAUGGGAAGUUCUUCCUUGAGCUUGGAAGAGAGAAACUCAAAAUCCGAUCUUGGUACCGGCUUAAUUUGUCAACAAGUCUGUUCUCUGAUUCUUUGAACCAAUUUAAUUUCAAUUAUCUUCUCUCUAACUCGUUCCCAUAUAAAAUUGUAAUUCAUCGAAAAAUGUUUGGAUUUCAUGUGAUGUGAAUGAUUUUUCAAAAUUGCGAUGGCACCCGUGUUAUCACACCAUAUUGUCAUAGGAGUAGGAAUUAAAAAUUGAUCAGAAGAAGAUGUAAUAUUAAUAUAUGUUACAAUUGCACUUGAUGUUGCUAAGGUUACAAUUACGGAAGAUGGGUCAAAGACCAUACCAAGUCCAGAUAACUCGCCAUCAAUGUCUGACCUAUUAGAUAAAUAAUUAUAUAAGCAAUUAUAUGCUAUUAUAUGGUUAUAUUGUAAAUUAACCAACCUAAUAUGUUGGUUAAGAUAUAUAGAAUGAUUAUAUAUAGUUUAAGUCUGUAUUAAUUGGAUACAAAGGAAAAUAGUUUUACAAAAUACAAAGAUGUACGUUUUAUUUUGAUAUCUUGUCAUGGUAUCAAAGCGACGUCGGUUCAGUUCGAGAAAGUAGCUGCGUAUGUACAAUCGUCAUCACCAACGGAUGAUCAUCGUCACUAAGAUUUCAUCAUUCUCUUCUUCCAAUUCUUUCUUGUCAUGACCAAACCCAGGUUGGACAACCAAGAACCAGGCACUCAGUUAAACUGACUCAAGAUCUUAAAAGUUUCUAACUAGGGUUAACAGUUAGUAGUUAGCUAAUUAGUUAUUCAGAAUAAUCGCUUUUUGUAAUUUCUAUAUAAUAUGUUAACUACAUACAAUGAAGUAUCUCUUGAAUCUCAAACUCCCUCAGGAGAACUCUUCUUCUUUCCUUAGUCACGCCCUAAGUUCCCUAUGCACAUUCCAACAAAUGAAUAAUCCUCGCUACUGGGAUUUACAGACGCCAACCAUGCCUAUGAUGUGCGGCAACGGAUGCGGAUUUUUUGGCAACUCCGCGACGAACAACCUGUGCUCUAAAUUCUACAAGGAUCACAUCUUGAGUAAAUCAAAACUUGCUCCGAUGGAUUCCAUCGUCCCCUUUCCUUGUAAGGAAAACGUGGAAAUAACUCAUUAUUUCAAGAUAGGAUCCUCGGAGAAACCUGUAGCAAAAGUAAACAAAGACAAACUAGCUCAUGACAAAGCUGUGCAUGCGUGUUCCAGAAAGAGAAAUGAAUGAAUGAGAAGUUGAUGGAUGAAUCGACCAUAGGGAAUGCGAUCCAGAAGUCGGCAUUAGGGAUUUCGGCCAUUUGGGUAAUUGUGGGGGAGGGGGAGUGGACGAC
rnacentral:lncRNA from 1 species